rnacentral:misc_RNA from 1 species
GAUGAAGAACGCAGCGAAAUGCGAUAAGUAAUGUGAAUUGCAGAAUUCAGUGAAUCAUCGAAUCUUUGAACGCACAUUGCGCCCGCUAGUAUUCUGGCGGGCAUGCCUGUUCGAGCGUCAUUUCAACCCUCAGGCCCCCAGUGCCUGGCGUUGGGGAUCGGCCGCUGGCGUCCUUCGGGGCGCCUGGCCGGCCCCGAAAUCUAGUGGCGGUCUCGCUGUAGUCCUCCUCUGCGUAGUAGCACAACCUCGCAGUUGGGACUCGGCGGUGGCCAUGCCGUUAAACACCCCACUUCUGAAAGUUGACCUCGGAUCAGGUAGGAAUACCCGCUGAACUUAAGCAUAUCAAUAAGCGGAGGA